CCCCGCCCCUCCCUGCUUGGAGUGGGCACGUGGCUCCAGCGGCGAUGGACCGAGCUGUCUGUGGGUGACUCAGCAGUGCCUGCGCCUGCCCCAGCCUGAUAAGUAUGGAGUUCCUAAGGACAGCGUUGAAUCUCCAAGACAGAUCCUGAGGGUAGGGCUAUACUUCGCACUUGGUGUGAGCAGGCAGAUCUGUGUCACCCCCAAAAUGGGGCUCCCCUCAUGAGGGAACCACAGAAGUGUUUACUAUGCUCCAGGUACUUCAUCCACGCACCAGAAUAACAGCUGUGUGCCAGUUGCUGGCAACGUGUACGUGACCAAAACAGACAAGUGCUUCGCUCACAGCCUCUUUCUAAAUCUUCACUUCUUAGCAGGUCUCCAGCUGACCUUGAGCUGCAAUUACACUUUCACCUAACAGCCACUUACCACGUGGUAAGAGCUUACCGAUGUUCUGAACCCUAUACAUACAUCAACUCACUGAAUCCUCACAACAGCCCCGUGAAGGGAGUCCAUUCUGCAGGUGAGGAAACUGAAGCACAGAGACAGAGACCCAAGAUCUGACUCCAGCCUUAACCACUACCUCUGUUAUAAGACAGGAAAUCAUAGGACAUUUUGCAACCAGAGGCAAAAACUUCCCCCCCACCGUUCUGGAGAGAGGAGUGGAAAUUCUGGGAGAAAUCAGACCUAUUCCACAGUUUUGAGAGCCCUGUGAUGAUCUAGAAUUACACUGUCAAUUUAGAGCUUUAAAAUGCAUCCAGUACAUUUUGAAAUGUGAAGAUUGAGAGAGCUUCAGGAAGAACAAAAGUUCAAGGAAAAUUGCCCUUUCCUUUGGAUUUUUCCAUUUGAUCUUAAGUCUUCAAAAACCUCAUCCCAGGGUUCCAGCACAAAGGCUCUUCCACUUCAAUGAUGCCUGGAAUUCACUGGUAACUUGGACCCUGGAGUUCCACUGACCUGAGUUUUGCCGCCACUAACAGGCUCUUUGAUUUAGGGGUGAGCGGCUUGACCUCUGAGGCUCAGACUUCUUGUCGAAAAAAGUACUAUUUCCCCCACAGGACUGUCAUGAGGAUCGGAUGGGAUAAUGUGCAUAAAACGCUUGGCAUGGUACCUGGCACGCAGAAGUGCUCAGUUAAACCCUAUGCUCCAGACGCACACACCUUCUCAGGUGUGCCAAGCACCUGAACAUUUCCAUGCUUUGCACAUGCUGUUCCCUCUUCUUGCUGGCCAAUUCCUAUUCAUCCUUUAAAGCCCCCUGACCCUUUUCCACCCCUUCUAGAAUUGCUACAAAUAUAUGUUUCAGUGAAAAGCUAGAAAAGGCACUUCCCUGGGGCCCCCUGUCACUGCAUGCAUCACACUGAGAUGCAAUGAUCUGUUUAUGCCUUGUCUCCCAGCCUGGGCUCGAACUUUCCAACAGCAGGGCUGUAUCUGGCUCAUUUCCAAGUCCAAGUGCACAGCCUGGCAUGAAGUGGAUUUCAAUAAAAGUGUUUCUACCUUAAAUGCAUGUGGUCUGGCCCCAGCCCCUGCUGUCCCCAGGACAUAUUUAUAUAUGAGAAGUAGUAAAAGGCAGCCAGAUGGGUUAUAACCACAGUGAGCGGACCUGGAGCAGCCUUGAGACAGGCCUGUCUUGGGAGAGGUUUGGCAGUCCUGGCAAGGAGAAUAAAGUCUUGGCUCCAAUGUCACCUUCAGAAGUGUUUCCCCAGUUCCUAAAUUGUCCCAUUUCUCUGACAUCUCCCCAAGGCAUUAGCAGGAGGAGUUCCAAGGGCCGAGGUGUGUCCAAGGGCUGAGGUGUGUCCAGGAGUGUCCCCUGCCCUGCCAAUACAUCUCCCAUUCAGACAGAGCUCUAUAGUCACAGGCUCUAUCUGGAUGGUCUAGGUGGCCUAGGACCCUAGGCCUGGGUGGAUCUGAGUGAUGGGUUAUAACCACAGUCAGGGCCCUAGUGGAGCCAUAUCCCAGAGGAAGAAAAUUCCUAAAUCUGGGGUUCCAGGGGCCUCACCGUGAGAGGGGGGCUGUGCUUUCUCUUCAUAGCACAUGUGUAAAGCUACUUUGUGCCCAAAGCCCAUCUUGGUGCCUAAGCCCCCAACCCCCUGAAUGCCAGUUUAGCCCCUGCUGGAAUGACAGCCUCCCUUUCCUUUUGUUCCAAAGAAAUGACUGUCAAAAGGAGAAGAGGUAUAUUGUUUCUUUUUCUUUUCUUUUCUUUUU